UACGGGGGGUGCGAGCGUUGUCCGGAAUCACUGGGCGUAAAGGGCGCGUAGGUGGUUUGAUAAGGGUGUGGUGAAAGUCCGGGGCUCAACCCCGGAUCUGCCGUGCCGACUGUCAAACUCGAGGGCUGUAGAGGCAGACGGAAUUCCGGGUGUAGCGGUGGAAUGCGUAGAGAUCCGGAGGAAGACCGGUGGCGAAGGCGGUCUGCUGGGCAGUUUCUGACACUGAUGCGCGACAGCGUGGGGAGCGAACGGG
rnacentral:rRNA from 1 species